rnacentral:rRNA from 1 species
GAAGAACCUUACCAGCUCUUGACAUUCGGGGUUUGGUCAGUGGAGACAUUGUCCUUCAGUUCGGCUGGCCCCAGAACAGGUGCUGCAUGGCUGUCGUCAGCUCGUGUCGUGAGAUGUUGGGUUAAGUCCCGCAACGAGCGCAACCCUCGCCCUUAGUUGCCAGCAUUCAGUUGGGCACUCUAAGGGGACUGCCGGUGAUAAGCCGAGAGGAAGGUGGGGAUGACGUCAAGUCCUCAUGGCCCUUACGGGCUGGGCUACACACGUGCUACAAUGGUGGUGACAGUGGGCAGCGAGACCGCGAGGUCGAGCUAAUCUCCAAAAGCCAUCUCAGUUCGGAUUGCACUCUGCAACUCGAGUGCAUGAAGUGGAAUCGCUAGUAAUCG